GCGAAAUAAAGAAAUUCUGGGGGAGAAAAGGUGAGAAAGUAUGGUUGAUAGAUGUUUUUCGUUCUUAUUUCUUAAUUAUUCCAGAUUUAUAUCUUUUUAAUUAUUUUAUUAAAA
rnacentral:ribozyme from 1 species